GUCAACGGCCAUACCACGUAGAAAAAACCCGGUCUCGUUAGCUCACGGCCGUUAAGCUGCGUGGGGUCCUGUUAUUACUUAGGAGGUUGACCACUUCGGAAUACGGGAUGCUGUUGGCA
rnacentral:rRNA from 1 species